rnacentral:rRNA from 1 species
GACGAACGCUGGCGGCGUGCCUAAUACAUGCAAGUAGAACGCUGAAGGAGGAGCUUGCUUCUCUGGAUGAGUUGCGAACGGGUGAGUAACGCGUAGGUAACCUGCCUGGUAGCGGGGGAUAACUAUUGGAAACGAUAGCUAAUACCGCAUAAUAGUAGAUGUUGCAUGACAUUUGCUUAAAAGGUGCAAUUGCAUCACUACCAGAUGGACCUGCGUUGUAUUAGCUAGUUGGUGGGGUAACGGCUCACCAAGGCGACGAUACAUAGCCGACCUGAGAGGGUGAGUGGCCACACUGGGACGGAGACACGGCCCAGACUCAGACGGGAGGCAGCAGUAGGGAAUCUGCGGCAAGGGACGGAAGACUGACCGAGCAACGCCGCGUGAUUGAAGAAGGUUUUCGGAUCGUAAAGCUCGGUUGUAAGAGAAGAACGAGUGUGAGAGUGGAAAGUUCACUCUGUGACGGUAUCUUACCAGAAAGGGACGGCUAACUACGUG